UACGUAGGGUGCAAGCGUUGUCCGGAAUUAUUGGGCGUAAAGAGCUCGUAGGCGGUCUGUCGCGUCUGCUGUGAAAACUCGGGGGCUUAACCCCGGGCCUGCAGUGGGUACGGGCAGACUAGAGUGCGGUAGGGGAGACUGGAAUUCCUGGUGUAGCGGUGAAAUGCGCAGAUAUCAGGAGGAACACCGGUGGCGAAGGCGGGUCUCUGGGCCGUAACUGACGCUGAGGAGCGAAAGCAUGGGGAGCGAACAGG
rnacentral:rRNA from 1 species